rnacentral:rRNA from 1 species
AGAUUGAACGCUGGCGGCAUGCCUUACACAUGCAAGUCGAACGGCAGCACGGGAGCAAUCCUGGUGGCGAGUGGCGAACGGGUGAGUAAUAUAUCGGAACGUGCCCAGUCGUGGGGGAUAACGCAGCGAAAGCUGUGCUAAUACCGCAUACGAUCUAUGGAUGAAAGCGGGGGAUCGCAAGACCUCACGCGAUUGGAGCGGCCGAUAUCAGAUUAGCUAGUUGGUGGGUAAAGCCUACAAGGCGACGAUCUGUAGCUGGUCUGAGAGGACGACAGCCACACUGGAACUGAGACACGGUCCAGACUCCGUACGGGAGCAGCAGGUAGGGGUAAUUUUGGAC